AUUGAACGCUGGCGGCAGGCCUAACACAUGCAAGUCGAGCGGAGCGGCGGACGGGAGAGGAAUGCUUAGGAAUCUGCCUGGUGGUGGGGGAUAACGUCCGGAAACGGGCGCUAAUACCGCAUACUAUCAGAUGAGCCUAGGUCGGAUUAGCUAGUUGGUGGGGAAAAGGCCUACCAAGGCGACGAUCCGUAACUGGUCUGAGAGGAUGAUCAGUCACACUGGAACUGAGACAGGGUCCAGACUCCUACGGAAGGAGGCAGUGGGGAAUAUUGGACAAGGGGCGAAGGCCUGAGCCAGCCAUGCCGCGGAGGUGAAGAAGGCUUUCGGAUUGUAAAGCACUUUAAGUUGGGAGGCGUUACCAACAGAAUAAGCACCGGCUAACUUCGUGCCAGCAGCCGCGGUAAUAC
rnacentral:rRNA from 1 species